ACGGCUACAUCGUAUUGAAACACCGGUUCCCGUACGAUCACCGAAGUUAAGCAACGUCCAGGCUGGUCAAUACCUAGAUGAGUGACCGCUUAGGAAUACCAGGUGCUGUAAU